ACACCCUCAAGCUCUGCUUGGUGUUGGGCGUCUGUUCCGCCUCCGCGCGGGACUCGCCCCAAAGGCAUUGGCAGCGGUCUCUUGCACCUCUCGCGCAGCACAUUGCGCUUCUCGAGGCGAGGCAGGCCGCGACCACGAAGCCACACAUCGU
rnacentral:misc_RNA from 3 species